GUUUACAAACUGCUGGACAAAAAAUGUUCCCUCAUCGGAGUUCACCACCUUCGGCCAAGCGAAGCAACUCUUUAGCUCUUUUGAGUCUAUUUUCUUUUUGUUGCGAUGUAAUUUCUUGCACUUUUUGGAAUUUCAAUGGCUUUACCCCGAACUCAUUUUUCAAUAUUUGCCAAUUGAAAUAUUGCGAUAGGUUGAGAACACGAUCAAUUUUUCGGCCACAGCGACGCAGGUUUCUACCAAGUCACUUCUUUAUUUUUCGAGCUAUUGCGGCUGAUGUUGCUGUUUUCUUCCGUCCACUUCCUUGACGUCGGGCUAUGCUACAAGUAUCACUAUAACGAACGACGGUACUAGACACAAACGAUUUAUACACAUUUAAAUGCUGGAGUGCUCUAACGAUAGCCACUUGUGGUUUUCCAGAAAUCACACUAUCACGCUUGUAUUCCAUCACGAAUAACUUUUUUUCUGGAAAAUUCUCACCAAAAUGCUUUUGUACGCUUGUAAACAAUAUAAUUAGCUGUCACUGGAAUAAUUUUAACAGCUGUCGGACGAGUGGCUUAGAAAUGACAGCAGUCUGAAGUUGGUUGCAGUUGUUUCAUCUCACCCUGUAUGUA